UUACGGCCACAUCACGUUUAAACAUCGGUUCCCGUACGAUCACCGAAGUCAAGCAACAUCGAGCGUGGUGAGUAGUUAAGUGGGUGACCAAUUGGAAAUU